UACACUCCUGCGGGAGGCAGCAGUGGGGAAUAUUGGACAAUGGGCGCAAGCCUGAUACAGCCAUGCCGCGUGAGUGAUGAAGGCCCUAGGGUUGUAAAGCUCUUUCACCGGUGAAGAUAAUGACGGUAACCGGAGAAGAAGCCCCGGCUAACUUCGUGCCAGCAGCCGCGGUAAUACGAAGGGGGCUAGCGUUGUUCGGAUUUACUGGGCGUAAAGCGCACGUAGGCGGACUAUUAAGUCAGGGGUGAAAUCCCGGGGCUCAACCCCGGAACUGCCUUUGAUACUGGUAGUCUUGAGUUCGAGAGAGGUGAGUGGAAUUCCGAGUGUAGAGGUGAAAUUCGUAGAUAUUCGGAGGAACACCAGUGGCGAAGGCGGCUCACUGGCUCGAUACUGACGCUGAGGUGCGAAAGCGUGGGGAGCAAACAGGAUUAGAAACCCUAGUAGUCCC
rnacentral:rRNA from 1 species